UCCCCUGGGUGUCCCCAAGGGUCCCUGGGGGUCUGUGGGACCCCCUGGGUGUCCCCAAGGGUCCCUGGGUGUUGGUGGGACCCCGAUGUCACCCUCGGUGUCCCCUGGGUGUCCCUGGUUGUCCCCGAGGGUCCCUGGGUGUCAGUGGGACCCAAAUGUCACCCUCGGUGUCCCCUGGGUGUCCGCAAGGAUUGCUGGGUGUCCCUGUCACCCCCUGGGUGUCCCCAAGGGUCCCUGGGUGUCCCUGAGGGUCCCUGGGUGUCCCUGUCACCCCCUGGGUGUCCCCAAGGGUCCCUGGGUGUCCCUGAGGGUCCCUGGGUGUCCCUGUCACCCCCUGGGUGUCCCUGAGGGUCCCUGGGUGUCCGUGGGACCCCAAUGUCCCCGUUGGUGUCCCCUGGGUGUCCCCAAGGAUCCCUGGGUGUCCCCUGGGUGUCCCUGGGUGUCCCCAAGGGUCCCUGGGGGUCUGUGGGACCCUCUGGGUGUCCCCAAGGAUCCCUGCGUGUCCCUGAGGGUCCCUGGGUGUCCCCAAGGAUCCUUGGGUGUCCCUGGGACCCCGAUGUCACCCUCGGUGUCCCUGGGUGUUCCUGGGUGUCCCCGAGGGUCCCUGGGUGUCGGUGGGACCCCGAUGUCACCCUCGGUGUCCCCUGGGUGUCCCUGAGGGUCCCUGGGUGUCCCUGUCACCCCCUGGGUGUCCCUGGGUGUCGGUGGGACCCCGAUGUCACCCUCGGUGUCCCCUGGGUGUCCCCAAGGCGCAGGUGGCCUUCCUGCAGGGCGAGCGCAAGGGCCAGGAGAACCUCAAGCUGGACCUGGUGCGGCGCAUCCGCAUGCUGGAGUUCGCCCUCAAGCAGGAGAGGUGGGGAUGCCAAAAAACCUCAAAAAAACCCCAAAAUAUUGCCCAAAACCACCCCGAAAAUUGCUCUGGACGACCCCAAAAAACCACCACAAAAAUUGUCCGAAAAACCUCAGGAAUGGGUCAAAAAUCACCCCAAAAACCCUCAAAAAACCACCCCAAAAAUUACCCGAGAAAGGUCAGAAAUUGCUCAAAAAUCACCCCAAAACCCCUCAAAAAACCACCCCAAAAAUCACCUGAAAAAGCUCAGAAAUUGCUCAGAAAUCACCCCAAAAAACCCCAAAAAUUGUCCUGAAAGACCCAAAAAAACCCCCAAAAAUGAUCCCAAAAAUUGUCCAAAAAACCUCAAGAAUGGGUCAAAAAUCACCCCAAAAACUCUCAAAAAACCACCCCAAAAUUACCUGAGAAAGGUCAGAAAAUGCUCAAAAAUCACCCUAAAAAUCCUCAAAAAACCACCCCAAAAAUUGCCCGAAAAACUGAGAAAUUGCUCAAAAAUCACCUCAAAAAUCCAAAAAAAAACACCCCAAAAAUUGCCCUGAAAGACCCAAAAAAAACCCCAAAAACCACUCCAAAAAUUGCCCAAAAAACCUCAGAAAUUGCUCAAAAAUCACCCCAAAAAACCACCCCAAAAAUUGUCCUGAAAGACCCCAAAAAACCCCCAAAAACCACCCCAAAAACUGCCCAAAAAACCUCAGAAAUUGCUCAAAAAUCACCCCAAAAACCCUCAAAAAACCACCCCAAAAAUUGUCCAAAAAGCCUGAGAAAUUGCCCAAAAACCACCUGAAAAACCCUCAAAAAACCACCCCAAAAAUUGCCCAAAACACUCAGAAAUCGCUCAAAAAUCACCCAAAAAACCCUCAAAAAACCACUCCAAAAAUUGCCCUGAAAGACCCCAAAAAACCCCAAAAAGUUCACCCCAAAAAUUGCCCAAAAAAUCCAAAAACCACCCCAAAAAUUGCCCAAAACCCUCAGAAAUCGCUCAAAAAUCACCCCAAAAAAUCACCCCCGAAAUUGCCCAAAGAAAACCCAAAAAAUUCACCCCAAAAUUGCCCAAAAACCCCCAAAAAACCCCAAAAAAUCCACCCCAAAAAUUGCCCAAAAAAUCCAAAAGCCACCCCAAAAAUUGCCCAAAACCCUCAGAAAUCGCUCAAAAAUCACCCCAAAAAACCACCCCCAAAAUUGCCCAAAGAAAACCCCAAAAAAUCCACCCCAAAAAUUGCCCAAAAAAGCCCAAAAAAAACCCCCAAAAUUGCCCAAAAACCCCCAAAAAACCCCAAAAAAUCCACCCCAAAAAUUGCCCAAAAAAUCCAAAAACCACCCCAAAAAUUGCCCAAAACCCUCAGAAAUCGCUCAAAAAUCACCCCAAAAACCCUCAAAAAACCACCCCAAAAACCCCCAAAAACGCCCCAAAACGCCCCAAAAUCCCACCAAAAAAAAACCCCAAAACCCCCAAAUCCCCUCAAAAACCCCAAAUCGCCCCAAAUCCGCCCAAAAAGCCCCAAAAGUGCCCGAUUUUGGCUUUUAGGGCCAAGUACCAGAAGCUGAAGUUCGGGACGGAGGCGGCGCCGGGGGAGAAGCGCCCGGAGGAGCCGGGUGAGACCCC
rnacentral:lncRNA from 13 species